UACUCCGGGAAACCGGGGCUAAUACCGGAUGGUUGUUUGAACCGCAUGGUUCAAACAUAAAAGGUGGCUUCGGCUACCACUUACAGAUGGACCCGCGGCGCAUAGCUAGUUGGUGAGGUAACGGCUCACCAAGGCGACGAUGCGUAGCCGACCUGAGAGGGUGAUCGGCCACACUGGGACUGAGACACGGCCCAGACUCCUACGGGAGGCAGCAGUAGGGAAUCUUCCGCAAUGGACGAAAGUCUGACGGAGCAACGCCGCGUGAGUGAUGAAGGUUUUCGGAUCGUAAAGCUCUGUUGUUAGGGAAGAACAAGUACCGUUCGAAUAGGGCGGUACCUUGACGGUACCUAACCAGAAAGCCACGGCUAACUACGUGCCAGCAGCCGCGGUAAUACGUAGGUGGCAAGCGUUGUCCGGAAUUAUUGGGCGUAAAGGGCUCGCAGGCGGUUUCUUAAGUCUGAUGUGAAAGCCCCCGGCUCAACCGGGGAGGGUCAUUGGAAACUGGGGAACUUGAGUGCAGAAGAGGAGAGUGGAAUUCCACGUGUAGCGGUGAAAUGCGUAGAGAUGUGGAGGAACACCAGUGGCGAAGGCGACUCUCUGGUCUGUAACUGACGCUGAGGAGCGAAAGCGUGGGGAGCGAACAGGAUUAGAUACCCUGGUAGUCCACGCCGUAAACGAUGAGUGCUAAGUGUUAGGGGGUUUCCGCCCCUUAGUGCUGCAGCUAACGCAUUAAGCACUCCGCCUGGGGAGUACGGUCGCAAGACUGAAACUCAAAGGAAUUGACGGGGGCCCGCACAAGCGGUGGAGCAUGUGGUUUAAUUCGAAGCAACGCGAAGAACCUUACCAGGUCUUGACAUCCUCUGACAAUCCUAGAGAUAGGACGUCCCCUUCGGGGGCAGAGUGACAGGUGGUGCAUGGUUGUCGUCAGCUCGUGUCGUGAGAUGUUGGGUUAAGUCCCGCAACGAGCGCAACCCUUGAUCUUAGUUGCCAGCAUUCAGUUGGGCACUCUAAGGUGACUGCCGGUGACAAACCGGAGGAAGGUGGGGAUGACGUCAAAUCAUCAUGCCCCUUAUGACCUGGGCUACACACGUGCUACAAUGGACAGAACAAAGGGCAGCGAAACCGCGAGGUUAAGCCAAUCCCACAAAU
rnacentral:rRNA from 1 species